GGCUCUGUAAAAAGGCCAACUCGCUGGAGGACGGAAGGGUGGCCUGAAGACUGAGGAGGGGCAGGUCAGGUGCCCAGUCCAGAGAGGAGGAGUUGAAGAUGACAAGCCGCACCCCACCUCCCCCCAACUCACUUGGGACUGGAUCCACCCUGAGGAGCCUCGGGUCAACAUCCUGUUUCCGGCAAGCCCUCCUGGAGGCCACACAGAGGGGUGUUUGUUCGUAGUGGGCGACGGGAGAGAUGCUAAUCACGUUGGAUAGCUGGUCCCAGCUGAAGGUCAGGAGAAACGUGAACGAUGCAGGCGGCUAGAGGGCUCGCUCGGUAGCUAAAAGUGAUUGCUACACAGGGGCAGCAAUCUGAAUUCAGUCCCCAGGAGCCAUGGAAAGCAGGAAGGAGAUGACCAGCUGCGUGGUUAGCUUCUGACUUCCCCACACGUGCUGUGACCCACACCCACACCAAUAAAUAUAUUUCUACUUUAUGC
rnacentral:lncRNA from 1 species